rnacentral:rRNA from 1 species
GAUGAACGCUAGCGAUAGGCCUAACACAUGCAAGUCGAGGGGCAGCACAUGAGGUAGCAAUACCGAUGGUGGCGACCGGCGCACGGGUGAGUAACACGUAUGCAACCUGCCUUCAACAAGGGCAUAACCCGUUGAAAGACGGACUAAUACCCUAUAAUACAGGGGCCCCGCAUGGGGAUAUUUGUUAAAGAUUUAUCGGUUGAAGAUGGGCAUGCGUUCCAUUAGCUGGUUGGUGGGGUAACGGCCCACCAAGGCAACGAUGGAUAGGGGAACUGAGAGGUUUAUCCCCCACACUGGUACUGAGACACGGACCAGACUCCUACGGGAGGCAGCAGUGAGGAAUAUUGGUCAAUGGACGCAAGUCUGAACCAGCCACGUCGCGUGAAGGAAGACGGCCCUACGGGUUGUAAACUUCUUUUAUACGGGAAUAAAGUGCCCCACGCGUGGGGUUUUGCAUGUACCGUAUGAAUAGGAUCGGCUAACUCCGUGCCAGCAGCCGCGGUAAU